UACGUAGGGGGCUAGCGUUGUCCGGCAUCAUUGGGCGUAAAGCGCGUGUAGGCGGUCCGGUAAGUCCGCUGUGAAAGUCGGGGGCUCAACCCUCGAAUGCCGGUGGAUACUGUCGGGCUAGAGUGCGGAAGAGGCGAGUGGAAUUCCUGGUGUAGCGGUGAAAUGCGCAGAUAUCAGGAAGAACACCCGUGGCGAAGGCGGUUCUCUGGGACGGUACUGACGCUGAGACGCGAAAGCGUGGGGAGCGAACAGG
rnacentral:rRNA from 1 species